rnacentral:rRNA from 1 species
AUGACCUCAAGUCAUGUGAGAGUACCCGCUGAACUUUAAGCAUAUCAAUAAGCGGAGGA